rnacentral:lncRNA from 1 species
UUGCUCUUGCUCCUUUGCCUGCUUGCUGCGUGAGACUGAGUAACUGCUAGAUCCUUGGACUUCCAUUCACAGCUGCGACUGAACAAUUGUUGGGAAUUCGGCUGCCGACUAUAACUGGAAGCUGUGGAUCCAUCCUUUAGAAGAUGACAUGAAGACUUCUCCGUCAAAGACUGAUUCAGAAGGAUUCCCUUCUCCAAGGUCAAUACAACCAGUUCUGAGUUACAACCAUGUGAGUCUCCUGUUGCCUUCAAGACUGGAAUCCUGCAGGAAAGAAUCCAGAGUCUGCUGCUGUGGUACGGACAGACACCUGUGGUAUUGCAGAGAGCAGGGCUCCUGAUGCUAGGAUGCCCUGAAAUUUGACUGUAGUUGGGCUCUCUGCAUCCUCCAUUCCUUUGUCCUGUUUCUUUUCUAAUUCAGAUUUCCAUUAGUGAGCAAACUAUCUAUUCUUCCAAAAACAUUUCUUUUCUAUUUGUUUCAAACAAGGUUUGUCUAGAACCUAAAUCAGUUUGUGAGCCAAGACUCUGAUGCCCUUUGAAACCAUAGAGGAAAGCUCUUUAUUGGCUUGUCAGCCUGCUUUCUUAUAUACCUCGGGAACCCCUUUCCAGGUGUGGCAUCACUCACAGGGAUGAUCCUACAUCAAUUGUCAAUGAAGAAAAUGCCCUGCAGGCAUGCUUACAGGUCAACUGGAUGGGGGGCUUUGCAGGAAAUCAUAGAAUUGGCCUGGUCUUGAAUCCUUGAGAGGCACCUGUCAUACAUUCUUCAGAUUAGAGUUCUUGGCUCCUGGAGCACCGUAUGCCUUUCAGUUCCUGAGAAACUGAGGCAUUCCCUCGGGCAGUGGAGCAUUCAGGCCACCUGUGUAUCUCUGUGUUCCCUAGAAGUCAGCAAAGCAUGUAGAAGCUUGGUUGGGCAAUUAGUCUUAGACCUUAAUCUUGUGUACCCUGUAGAACUUGCAAAUGUGAUUGUAUCCUGACAAUUAUAACUGUAUUCUUCCUAGCAACCACUAUGGUAUUCUGUUUCUGACAUGGGUAUAAAAUUUCUAAUUGUUUUCAAUAAACUUGUCUCAUCCUGUGUC